GCGUCGGUGGUGAAACGGUUCAGCACACGCUCCCGGAAGGGGUAGGAUCUGGGUUCGAAUCCCGGCUGACGCU